rnacentral:rRNA from 1 species
AAUAGGGAAGACUCCAUAUCAUGGAAUUGGACCCCCAACGGCAUCUACUCCGCUGCUUCGGCUUACGUGACCCAGCUUACAGGGUCCUUCCCCAGGUUCUCGCCGACUAAGAUCUGGGAGGCGCACACAGAACCAAAAUGCAAGUUAUUAUUCUGUCUCGUGCGCCAUGGAAAUAUCCUUACGGCGGACAUGCUGACCGUUCGGGGCUGGCCUCAUGACCCUCAUUGCCCGCUUUGUCUUGGGGCGCUAGAAACGACAACUCACCUGUGCAAGGACUGCUCAUUUGUUGUUGCAGUAUGGUCGCACGUCCAGGUGUGGACGGGAGAGGCGCAUGCAUUCACGCAUGCGCUUCCACCUCCAAUGGGGAUCUCUAACUGGUGGGAUACAUUAGACGCUCCGCCGUCCAUCGAGCACAGACACCGUCGUAACGGCCGCCUUCUCUACACCAUUUGGAAUAUCUAG